UAGAGUUUGAUCAUGGCUCAGAACGAACGCUGGCGGCAGGCUUAACACAUGCAAGUCGAACGCCCCUUCGGGGGGAGUGGCAGACGGGUGAGUAGCGCGUGGGAACCUACCUAUCAGUACGGAACAACUCAGGGAAACUUGUGCUAAUACCGUAUACGUCCUUCGGGAGAAAGAUUUAUCGCUGAUAGAUGGGCCCGCGUUAGAUUAGCUAGUUGGUGAGGUAACGGCUCACCAAGGCGACGAUCUAUAGCUGGUCUGAGAGGAUGAUCAGCCACACUGGAACUGAGACACGGUCCAGACUCCUACGGGAGGCAGCAGUGGGGAAUAUUGGACAAUGGGCGCAAGCCUGAUCCAGCCAUGCCGCGUGAGUGAUGAAGGCCCUAGGGUUGUAAAGCUCUUUCAACGGUGAAGAUAAUGACGGUAGCCGUAGAAGAAGCCCCGGCUAACUUCGUGCCAGCAGCCGCGGUAAUACGAAGGGGGCGAGCGUUGUUCGGAAUCACUGGGCGUAAAGCGUACGUAGGCGGAUAGAUUAGUUAGGGGUGAAAUCCCAAGGCUCAACCUUGGAACUGCCUCUAAUACUGUCUAUCUAGAGAUCGAGAGAGGUGAGUGGAAUUCCUAGUGUAGAGGUGAAAUUCGUAGAUAUUAGGAAGAACACCAGUGGCGAAGGCGGCUCACUGGCUCGAUACUGACGCUGAGGUACGAAAGCGUGGGGAGCAAACAGGAUUAGAUACCCUGGUAGUCCACACCGUAAACGAUGAAUGCCAGUCGUCGGGCAGUAUACUGUUCGGUGACACACCUAACGGAUUAAGCAUUCCGCCUGGGGAGUACGGCCGCAAGAUUAAAACUCAAAUGAAUUGACGGGG
rnacentral:rRNA from 1 species